UAAGGUCAGUAAUAAAGGUGAAGUCGUUAGAGUAAUCUACUUGUUGCGACUCCCGGAAAGCAAUUUUCGGGAAAAAACUUGGCUAUAUGCUGGAACAUCUGUGUAUCUAGAGUUAUGCAUGUUAAAAUUAAUUAAUAUGCGUAAAAAUACUUCUAGUGCAGACAAUCAGCAGGGAAGUCCCGCUACGAAGCGGGAUCCCUCAGAGACUAUACGCCGAGCUCCAACGAUUUCGUUGGAUGAUGAUAUAGUCCAUGCUCUAUAGCGAUAUAGGG
rnacentral:ncRNA from 1 species